UGCAUAAUGAUUUAUGGACAUUUGCCCUAAAAAUUGUGCGGGAAUAUGAAGCAGCUGUUCAAGAGCUUGGCUUUGGUUUUGCUAACAAGAAGCAGAUAGCUGUGGUUAAUGAAAAACAACUGCUAAUAGAUAAUUCCAGUUUAGCUUUGAAGUAUAUUUCCAGUAUUGUCAAUACAUACAGUGACUGAAAUACAGGUCUAGAACCUGGAUACCCACUUCACCCCCUUCCUCUCCUCAGAUUCCUCCCUCGGGGAUGGACUUUAUGGGGAGAUAGCACCGGGAGGCAAUCCGGGAGAGUGUUGCAUGGGAGGGGCCUGCAUCCUGUUCUGGCUGGUGGUAAUAAAAUAUUAGCACAAUGGCAUAGACAGUAUAGUUUGUAAGAAGCUAGGAAGAAGAGAACAAGGAUCAGCAUAGAUCUGUGAUAGUUCCGUUGUUGACUGUCUCUCCUUUACUGCUCCACCAGCCUAAAACAUUAGGAUGCUGAUUAUGGGGCCUCUACGAAGUGAAUUCCACCCAAGAACACCAGGCGGAAAAAUCCAUUCCUGACUGCAGUGGUGAAGUGGAUGCAUGGAAUCCCCAGCAAGGUCCUGGCAGGCAAGUCCUUGUUGGCCCCAAUAAAUCAAUGAUGGUGGCGGGAGACUCACUCCCUCCACGGGCUCCGCAUAAGCCAGAGCACGCAGUGGCAGACAAAGGAGGGUGAAACCAGCAUGUGUGUGCCUCUCAUAAAUGCUUUCCCUAUGUUCAUAAAUUGUCAUUUAAUUUUAAUAACAACCAAUUAGAAGAUGAUUGUGAAACCAUUAAACAGAUGAAUAAACUGAGGCUACCAGAGAUUAUGUCUUUCCCCAGGCUAUACUGCUGGUGGGUAAUCAAGCCAGGAUUACUACCCAGAUUUGUCCGACUGCAAUACUCAUAUUCUUUUUACCAGGCACCGUGCAAAGUGGUGUGCAUGUAUUUUCUCAUUUAAUCAUGAUAAAAAUCCUCAAAGAUGGAUAUUAGCAUCUCAGAUUUACAAAUAAAGAAACUGAAGCUUUGCAGAAUUCAUUAACUUGCCUGAGUUCUUGCUGUUAUGAAGUGGCAGAGGGCACUCCAACCCAAUCUCACUCCAGAGUCCAC
rnacentral:lncRNA from 1 species